GACGAACGCUGGCGGCGUGCCUAAUACAUGCAAGUAGAACGCAGUUGCGAACGGGUGAGUAACGCGUAGGUAACUGCCUCAUAGCGGGGGAUAACUAUUGGAAACGAUAGCUAAUACCCCAUACUGUGAGAUGGACCUGCGUUGGAUUAGCUAGGUGGUGAGGUAAAGGCUCACCAAGGCGACGAUACAUAGCCGGGCUGGGAGGGUGGUCGGCCAAACUGGGAAUGGGACACCGGCCAGGCUCCCACGGGUAGGAACAGUAGGGGAACUGCGGCAAUGGAGGGAAAUCUGACCGAGGAACUACGCGUGAGUGAAGAAGGUUUUCGGAGCGGAAAGGUAUGUUGUGAGAGAAGCGGUAACGAGCGAGGAAGGGACGGCUAACUACGUGCCAGCAGCCGCGGUAAUAC
rnacentral:rRNA from 1 species